AACGAACGCUGGCGGCAUGCCUAACACAUGCAAGUCGAACGAGACCUUCGGGUCUAGUGGCGCACGGGUGCGUAACGCGUGGGAACCUGCCCUUAGGUUCGGAAUAACUCCCCGAAAGGGGUGCUAAUACCGGAUAAUGUCUUCGGACCAAAGAUUUAUCGCCUUUGGAUGGGCCCGCGUUGGUUUAGCCAGUUGGUAGGGUAAAAGCCUACCAAGGCGACGAUCCAUAGCUGGUCUGAGAGGAUGAUCAGCCACACUGGGACUGAGACACGGCCCAGACUCCUUCGGGAGGCAGCAGUGGGGAAUAUUGGACAAUGGGGCGAAGGCAGAUCCCGCAAUGCCGCGGAAGUGAUUAAGGCCUUAGGGUUUUAAAGCUCUUUUACCCGGGAUGAUAAUGACAGUACCGGGAGAAUAAGCUCCGGCUAACUCCGUG
rnacentral:rRNA from 1 species